GGGUCAGUAGGUUGGUCGUGCCACCGGUACGUACUGGUCUCACUGAUUCCUCCUUCCUGAAGAACCGUAAUGCCAUUAAUUUGGUGUGGCGGGGAAACAGGACUGUUACUUUGAAAAAAUUAGAGUGUUUAAAGCAAGCUAACGCUUGAAUUCAUUAGCAUGGAAUAAUGAAAUAGGACGAUCGAUCCUAUUUUGUUGGUUUCUAGGAUUGACGUA
rnacentral:rRNA from 1 species